rnacentral:rRNA from 1 species
GCGGCUUGUUGCGUCAGCUGUGAAAGCCCAUGGCUUAACUGUGGGUUGGCAGCUGAUACGGGCAGGCUAGAGUUCGGUAGGGGAGACUGGAAUUCCUGGUGUAGCGGUGAAAUGCGCAGAUAUCAGGAGGAACACCGGUGGCGAAGGCGGGUCUCUGGGCCGAUACUGACGCUGAGGAGCGAAAGCGUAGGGAGCGAACAGGAUUAGAUACCCUGGUAGUCCACGCUGUAAACGUUGGGCGCUAGGUGUGGGGGGCCUCUCCGGUUUCCUGUGCCAUAGCUAACGCAUUAAGCGCCCCGCCUGGGGAGUACGGCCGCAAGGCCAAAACUCAAAGGAAUUGACGGGGGCCCGCACAAGCGGCGGAGCAUGCGGAUUAAUUCGAUGCGACGCGAAGAACCUUACCUGGGUUUGACAUGGCCGUUAAAGCCGCAGAGAUGUGGUGUCCUUCGGGGGCGGUCACAGGUGGUGCAUGGCUGUCGUCAGCUCGUGUCGUGAGAUGUUGGGUUAAGUCCCGCAACGAGCGCAACCCUUGUUCGAUGUUGCCAGCGG